rnacentral:rRNA from 1 species
UUUUCUUCGGAAAAUGAGUAAAGUGGCGAACGGGUGAGUAACACGUGGGUAAUCUGCCCUUAGGUUGGGAACAACACUUCUAACGAGGUGCUAAUACCGAAUAACAAACUGGAACAUAAGUUCCAAUUUUAAAGGUGGCCUCUACUUGUAAGCUGCCGCCUGAGGAUGAGCCCGCGCCGUAUUAGCUUGUUGGUGGGGUAAUGGCCUACCAAAGCAACGAUGCGUAGCCGGCCUGAGAGGGUGAACGGCCACACUGGAACUGAGACAAGGUCCAGUCUUCUACGGAAGCCAGCAGUCUAGAAAUUUGCACAAUCGUCGAAAGACGGAUGCAGCGACACCACGUGGAGGAUGACGCCCUUCGGGGUGUAAACUCCUGUCAGUUGGGACGAAGGCGCAGGUGUUAAUACCACCUGUUGCUUGACGGUACCAUCAGAGGAAGCUCCGGCAAACUACGUGCCAGCAGCCGCGGUAAUACGUAGGGAGCGAGCGUUGUUCGGAUUUACUGGGCGUAAAGAGCACGUAGGCGGGCAUGCAAGUCGGUUGUGAAAUCCUCUGGCUCAACCAGAGAACUGCAAUCGAAACUGCAUGCCUUGAGUCCAGCAGAGGAAAUCGGAAUCUUAGGUGUAGCGGUGAAAUGCUUAGAUAUCUAAGAGAACACCAGUGGCGAAGGCGGAUUUCUGGGCUGGCACUGACGCUGAGGUGCGAAAGCUGAGGGAGCGAACAGGAUUAGAUACCCUGGUAGUCUCAGCCGUAAACGAUGGGUACUAGGUGUUGGGGGACAUUGACCCCCUCAGUGCCGUAGCUAACGCAUUAAGUACCCCGCCUGGGGAGUAC